AGACUCUAUAAAGCAGGAAACCGAGAGUAGUGCUCAGAUUACGUCCCUUCUGUUUUCCUUUCUCCUUUUCAACGGAGGAUAAUUACGUGUUUCUUUAUCUCUCAUACCUGUAUUAUUCUUUUAUCCUAGAAAAGUCUGGACGGUGCAUCAUUUUAAUAGAAUACAACAAAUCAGCUGAGUAAACACGGGUUCGGUUUAAUUGUACCCUUAUCCAUGGAAAGUGAAAUGGUAUAUAUAUAUACACUUGAGCCUGGUUUAGAGGCCAGAUGACAACCACAGAGACACUCAAUAAUACAUCGUUGCAUUUGACAUAUAUAUAUACAUACAACCUUUGAUUCUUCUUUGCUUGUACUGCUUCUUCUUCCAAAAUGGACAGGACAGAAAACCAGGUUCCUCCGGGUUAUCCAACUGAGAAUCCUACGAUGGGGAAGAAGAAGAAGAAGAGGUGUUGGCCACAAUCCAAACCAAAAGGAGAAAGGGGAUUUAUUGAAGGAUGCCUGUUUGCCCUCUGUUGCUGCUGGAUUUGUGAAAUGUGCUUUUAAUUGCAUAUUCACCUUGGAAGAAGCUGAUCAGUGUUUCGUUGUUUAUGGGUGCAGUCUUUUUGCGCUGUGUUGCUGCUGGAUCUGUGAAAUGUGCUGUGACUAAUAUGUUAUGAUAUGGAUUGGCGCUACAUCUGCGUUACUUUUUCUUCGUGUAUUUGCUGAGUUAUGUAAUCAUGUAUUCUGACGAUUUAUUACUGUAAAAUUUUGUGUGUGUGAUUUAUCAUACGAUCAAUAAAUAUUGUGUUUCUCUUCCUCAAAA